CAAUGCCAGCGGUAUUGAUUUUUACCUUACCGAAGCUAAUUUUUUUUGCAGGCUUCGGAGCUCUCUGUGGCUUCAAUUUGAAUUUGAUCAAAUUGCUAUUGGAGCUGCUUAAUGCUAUUAAUGCUAUAAAGGAAAUUGUUGAGGAAUGAGGAGGUUAUUGAAGUUUGUGGUGGUUGCACAUUGCUUAAACUUGCAUUAAAGGUGGAUUUUCAAUCAAGGAAAUUCUUGCAAAUGAUGAAGAAAAAGUUGGAGCAGACAUUGUUAAAAAAGCUCUUAGUUACCGUCUGAAAUUAAAAGUUAAGAAUGUCGGUGUAAAACAUCAGAC